UUAAAAGAGCACGAGCGGCGAAAUUGUGAAUAAAUAUUACUCCAUAUAUUCUAUAACAUAACACUAUCUCGAUAAAAUUCUGCAGCAGUGUUAUAUUUGUGCACAAAUAUCAUCACCAUCAUACAAUGUGACAUGUGUUGUGUACUUAACUGAAGUGCAAAAAGUUAAUUCAUUUUCGGGUAAUUCCCAAGGGGACUUAUUCGACAUUUGCACUUCAAGUGCAAAUGUAUUCUGCUCUCAGCAAGAGCAACAAGCAGCAGAGCAGCUGGCACAAGUGAUCAGCUCGAAAACCAUGAAGACUCUGAUGGCUAAUCAAGCUUUAAUUUUAGAUAAAUAAAUACCAUUUUUAAGCAAU